rnacentral:rRNA from 1 species
UACGGAGGGUGCAAGCGUUAUCCGGAUUUACUGGGCUUAAAGGGUGCGUAGGUGGCUAAGUAAGUCAGUGGUGAAAUCUCCGGGCUUAACCCGGAAACUGCCAUUGAUACUAUUUGUCUUGAAUACUUUGGAGGUAAGCGGAAUAUGUCAUGUAGCGGUGAAAUGCUUAGAUAUGACAUAGAACACCAAUUGCGAAGGCAGCUUACUACACAGUAAUUGACACUGAGGCACGAAGGCCAGGGGAGCAAACGGG